rnacentral:rRNA from 1 species
GAUGAACGCUGGCGGCGUGCCUAAUACAUGCAAGUCGAGCGAACAGACGAGGAGCUUGCUCCUCUGAUGUUAGCGGCGGACGGGCGAGUAACACGUGGAUAACCUACCUAUAAGACUGGGAUAACUUCGGGAAACCGGAGCUAAUACCGGAUAACAUGUUGAACCGCAUGGUUCAACAGUGAAAGACGGUCUUGCUGUCACUUAUAGAUGGAUCCGCGCCGCAUUAGCUAGUUGGUAAGGUAACGGCUUACCAAGGCAACGAUGCGUAGCCGACCUGAGAGGGUGAUCGGCCACACUGGAACUGAGACACGGUCCAGACUCCUACGGGAGGCAGCAGUAGGGAAUCUUCCGCAAUGGGCGAAAGCCUGACGGAGCAACGCCGCGUGAGUGAAGAAGGUCUUCGGAUCGUAAAACUCUGUUAUUAGGGAAGAACAAAUGUGUAAGUAACUAUGCACGUCUUGACGGUACCUAACCAGAAAGCCACGGCUAACUACGUG